GACGAACGCUGGCGGCGUGCUUAACACAUGCCAGUCGAACGGAAAGGCGCUGCGUUUGUGUGUUUCUCGAUUGGCGAACGGGUGAGUAACACGUGAGUAACCUGCCCUUGACUUUGUGAUAACUUCAGGAAACUGGGGCUAAUACCGGAUAUGAGCUCCUGCUGCAUGUUGGGGGUUGGAAAGUUUCGGCGGUGGUGGAUGGACUCGCUGCUUAUCAGCUGGUUGGUGUGGUAGUGGCUUACCAAGGCUUUGACGGAUAGCCGGCAUGAGAGGGUGAACGGCCACAUUGGGACUGCGAUACGGACCAGACUCCUAUGGGACGCAGCAGUCGGGAAUAUUGCACAAUGGCGGGAAGCCUGAUGUAGAAACGCUGCGUGCGGGAUGCCGGCUUUCGGGUUGUAAACCGAUUUCGCAUGUGACGAAGAGUGAGUGACGGUAACGGGUAAAGAAGCAACGGCUAACUACGUG
rnacentral:rRNA from 1 species